rnacentral:lncRNA from 1 species
AAACAGCAUCUGUUGCUGUCUUGCAGGAUCUAUCAUCAAGGUGGGAUCCAAGAUCAACCCACAGUCAGGUUCAACAUCCCAAGAAGCACAUUUCUUUAUUUAUCAGUGAAACCUGAGUCUUGGGUGCUCCUCUGGGAGCAGGAUGCAGGCUAGAUGAGUUCUAGCUUGCUUCUGCUUGCUGUCUUUCCUGGGCACUCCACAGUUUCUUGCUUCUCCCUAGCCAGGCUCCAUACACACAGUGAAUAUGAUAGUUUAAGGCAUCAAAAUAACCAGUUUACUGUGUACAUACAGAAGUAAUGUCCUGCACAUGCCCUGAUGGCCUGUUCAUGUGAUGGGGAAGGGCUAGAAUGGAACAACCCCUUCCUAUGGCUAGACGGAAGCUAGACAAGGAAAACUUUGACUAAUUAGGAAACCCAGAGCUCAGAGGGGAUGGCUUGGGGGCUGUUCUAUGGCAUUUAGUUAUAGCAUGCAAUCCCAUCUUUCUGGCUAUCAUGAUAUAUAUACUUACACGUAUGUGUGUGAACAGACAUAAUAGUCUGAAGCCUUAACUGUGUCUCACAUUAAUGCAGAUGAAAAGUUGAGGAGCUGCAAGGAACAAUUCUUUCAUUGUCCUCUACACAUCUGGGUUAAUGUUUCGUCCUUGAAUUAGUCCUCACCAGAGUGUUCCCUCUCUGCUCACCACAGGCUAGCAGUGCCAAUUUCCCUCCAUGGCAGCUCCAGUGACAGCUGUUUACUUGGAAGCUCAUGGAUUUGAUAUAUGGGUGCUAGCCACAAAUUAAUGGAAUACUUUCCAGAUGCAAAGUCUUUAAACAUUCAAACAAUAAGCCAAAAACACUAAGCUGUUUUGGCCAUUUUUUCUCUUCACUCUGGAUGUCACUUGGAGAUGAUGUAAACACAAUUACUUGGGACAACGAACAGAACACUUAAUUGGUUUUGGAUUAACAGCAUGGGUUGCUGGAUGGCAGUCAGUUGAUGGUGCCAUUUGUCACCUUAAGCCAAGACCUGAAAUCGCCAAGAAGGACAACGGAAUAAAGAAGAAAAAAGAAGUACUGAAGCUAACUGCUAGCAGGUGGCCUUCCCAGCCUAGUCAGAGAGCUGUGCGUGCUGGCCCAGCCUCCCAGGUUCAGGGAAACCUGAAUUUUCUGCAGAAAACCACAACAGAAACAACCACUUCUUGUCAACAUUUCCCUUAGGAGUAAUUAAAUCUUUGUGAUUCAUCACUGUGAAAUCAAAAUGAAAUAGCUCUUCAGAAAUCUUGGGAUUUCCUAGAAUCCCCAUCUGAAUGCCAUUUAAGAAGAUUUGGCUUUGUAAUUAACCAUUUCUCAGGGAGUUAAAAAAUAUAAACAACUCAAAUGUGGCAUUUUUACAACCUUAAUAAAACCAAAUGCAACAUUUACUAGGUACA